GCCCGGCCCCGGCUGGAGCCCGGGCAGCAGCUGCCCUCAGCCUUGCCGCAGCCUCGCCCAGACACCUUUUCAAGGCCCCCCCUCCACCUCCUGUUUUGGAGGUUGCCUCGCUCCAUUGCCCUCCGGGCGCCGCUCGGAAGCCCCACAUUCCCGGCAUAAGCAAUAACCCGGGUCCAGUUGCAGCCGGGGGGCAUGCCCAUAUGCAAUACACGCGCACGCGCGCGCGCUCUCGCCCGUACCCCCUGGGGCAUCGCACAGUUGCAAAAGGGAUUGUGUGUGCUUCCUCUUCCAAAAGGGCUUGGCCAGGGGGCCGGCUGGACUGCAGAUGUCUCUCCCAGGCUCCCGGAGAGCUCUCCUCCCAGCUGCCGUCUGCCUGCAAAACCUCCCACAACCCCACCCAGACCCUGGACGAGGGCCAACCAGCAUUUAUUAAACACCUUUUGAAUGCUCCCAGGCUGCUUCUGGCAAGAGAAGCAGGAGCCCC